rnacentral:rRNA from 1 species
UACGUAGGGGGCAAGCGUUGUCCGGAUUUAUUGGGCGUAAAGAGCGUGUAGGCGGCUUUACAGGUCCGUUGUGAAAACUCGAGGCUCAACCUCGAGACGCCGGUGGAAACCGUAAGGCUAGAGUCCGGAAGAGGAGAGUGGAAUUCCUGGUGUAGCGGUGAAAUGCGCAGAUAUCAGGAAGAACACCCGUGGCGAAGGCGGCUCUCUGGGACGGUACUGACGCUGAGGCACGAAAGCGUGGGGAGCGAACGGG